UUUCCUCAUUCAUUUUGGUCCAAUAUUGAGAGAUAAAAAGUGGGAAAAUCUUAUUUUCUUGAUUUUCCGUGGGAAAAGCUCAUUUUCUUGAUUUUCCGGUGAGAAA